rnacentral:tRNA from 1 species
GAGGAUUUAGCUCAAUGGUAGAGCGCUUGCCUAGCAAGCGCAAGGCCCUGGGUUCAGUCCUCA